AUUGAACGCUGGCGGCAUGCUUUACACAUGCAAGUCGAACGGUAACAGGCCUUCGGGCGCUGACGAGCGGCGAACGGGUGAGUAAUGCAUCGGAACGUGCCCAGUCGUGGGGGAUAACUAUCCGAAAGGAUAGCUAAUACCGCAUACGAUCUGCGGAUGAAAGCGGGGGACCUUCGGGCCUCGCGCGAUUGGAGCGGCCGAUGUCAGAUUAGGUAGUUGGUGGGGUAAAGGCUCACCAAGCCAACGAUCUGUAGCUGGUCUGAGAGGACGACCAGCCACACUGGGACUGAGACACGGCCCAGACUCCUACGGGAGGCAGCAGUGGGGAAUUUUGGGCAAUGGGCGCAAGCCUGAUUCAGCAAUGCCGCGUGCAGGAAGAAGGCCUUCGGGUUGUAAACUGCUUUUGUACGGAACGAAACGGCUCUGGUUAAUACCCGGGGCUAAUGACGGUACCGUAAGAAUAAGCACCGGCUAACUACGUGCCAGCAGCCGCGGUAA
rnacentral:rRNA from 1 species